CCAAGACAGUUUUGGAAAUAGGCUCAAGUAAAUAGAUUCUGAGUGGUGAUUUCAUUCAUUCUUUCACUUCAGCAGAAAUUGAAUCAGGUCCCCGGACAAGCAGAAGCUUGACUAUUGGUAUAAAUGAGAUAAAUUCAGUUAGAAUAUAUCAGAAGAAACCCAUGUCUCAUCAGUGCGU